ensembl:lncRNA
AGUGGGGGAGCGCUGUGCGGGAGCGGGGCUGGCAGCCCAGCGUAGCGCUGCUCUGCGCUGUGUUGGCUGCCUCUGUUCCAGUGCCCUCCCGCUCUCCUUGUAACAGUGCACGUUAUACCCUCGUGCUUCCUUCUCCAACUCUUGAGGUCAUACUUGGAGCAAUGCGCACACCCCGAUCGCGUACCGCUGCCCGGGUUUCAACAACUGCGGUGACGACCGACACUUCGUAUCCCUGAACUACACAAAUCGCAACGGAUUGGGAUUGUUACGGACGCGUCGCGCUGCGCUUCGCAGCGUGGGGAGAUCGGCUCCCCCUCCCUCUCCCUCUCCCCCCUAUUUGGCGUUCGGCUGCCAAUCCUCCGGCACCUACGGGCUUCCCCGAGAGGCAGCGACACUUUCAUAGAAUCACAGAAUCGUAGAAUCGCUAAGGUUGGAAAAGACCCACAGCAUCAUCCAGUCCAACCAUUCGCCCUUCACCAAUGGUUCUCGCUAAACCGUGUCCCUCAAGAGCUGGCUCUGUUACUUCCCAGACAUUUUUGGAUAAACUCCGGUGUGGUCUCGUAAUUAGUUCUGUAUUUAUAUGUUUAUGAUUUCCAACCGCUCGCUGAAGAGCAGCCCGUGAUAGCCGCACGUUUCCAGUCUAUAACUUUGAUCCGCUUCCCGGCGGGAGCUGUCAUCUCUAUUUCUUUCCCCGCAUUUUUCAGCCGCCUCCCAAUACUCCGCUUCCCUCCCUCAAGAAAGGGCGCUCAGCAAAGCGGGGACGCUGCUUUAGGAAACACUAACGCGAAGUACCAGCACAUUUGCUGCUGAUCUCCAGCUCUUAAUCUAUUGCCCAAAUAACAUCCCACGUUAUCUCCAGGACACGCGUUCGCUCUUCUGUCUCUUCCUGUGUCCCAUUAAUAGGACAAGCCCGCCUGCAUGCGACCCUUUCUACAUGUACUCAGCGACGGUGUGCUUUGGCUGGCUGAAGAGCAGCCCGCUGGGGACCCCGGAAUAGCAGAGCAGUGUCUCUGUGCAGCGGGCCAGGUGUGCGGUGCCGCCCGCGCGGUGAUAGCAGCAUUCUGCUGGCUCGUAUGAGAGAAAUCGUGUCCGUAUGUGGUAUUCUGUUUUUCUUUCCCUGCGUAAUGUGUCUCUGGAAGAAGUCUCAGCAUUUCAGCCGAAAUCCAUUUCCAAACAUCAUAAUCCGGAUUCAGAUGAGAAGUUGACUCGCAGAGUAUUCAGUGCUUGAAAUACAUGGGAAGCAAUUUAAAUGGCUAUCCGGUAACCCUUCCAUCUACUCUCUGAAGUAUGCUCAUGUAAAUACCACAAUGCAAGCAUUUCAGAAAGUACUCCCUACUUACACACUGAGGAGAAAAGAACACACAGGCCUGAAGGUCCAUAUCAGGUGACCUGUGUAUAUGAAGUAUACUAGCAUGUUAAAAAAUGCUCUGACAACUUCUUUUUUUAAGUAUAUCCUUUAGAAAACCUGUGUCUUUUCUUCAUUUGUGACCAAUAUAUAUUUGCUCCAUUUAGCAAUAAUGAUCUAGAUCAAGAACCCAUCUAGGCACCGUACAUACACACAAUAGAUAGUUUCCAACUGAGCUUAUAAUUCUAAAUAACUUGUCUUAAAAAUGGGAAGAGAAAUAAAGGUUUAUUUUUACCAUCUGAGAUCUGGGGGAAAAUUAAUUUCUUAAUAGCUAGUAACUAAAAAAAGUCACCAACUUCCCAGCUCACUGUCUUCAUUGAAAGCUUAGUUUUCCUUUAGUUCUCUUUAAAUACAUCAAACUAUGUAACUAACUGAGAAAUGCCAUUAUUUUCUGUCCCUAUAUUUUUCUUCAUUUUGGUUUCUAGGUGUGCCAACACAAAUGACUGAAAAGCAGCAGUUUGAGAUAAAUGCCUGCAUUCAGAUACAUCAAGGAGAUGCAGUUAGAAAGAUAGACAGCUGAGCAGUCUAUGGAAGUGAUAGCUGUUCACUUUGAGAACUGCUGUCCUGAUGUAGUUGGUAUGUUAAGAGAUGUCUGUCAAACUUAUGGGAAAAUACACCACUAAAAUGCAGUGGAGGACACUACAGAGAAAAUUCUGCUACCACAUAAAUACUUAGGGAAUAGCAGCAGAAUGAAUGCGUAAGACAGAGGAAAGGCAAAUUAAAAGUAUCAGAUGAAGGAAGAAGAAGCUAAAUAUUAAGACACGACAUUUCCAUGUUUCCUGUUACUUUUUUUUCAAGGA